UCCCAGACCCUACGGGAGGCAGCAGUGGGGAAUAUUGGACAAUGGGGGGAACCCUGAUCCAGCGACGCCGCGUGAGUGAAGAAGUAUUUCGGUAUGUAAAGCUCUAUCAGCAGGGAAGAAAGAAAUGACGGUACCUGACUAAGAAGCCCCGGCUAACUACGUGCCAGCAGCCGCGGUAAUACGUAGGGGGCAAGCGUUAUCCGGAUUUACUGGGUGUAAAGGGAGCGUAGACGGCGAUGCAAGUCUGAAGUGAAAGGCGGGGGCCCAACCCCGGGACUGCUUUGGAAACUGUAUAGCUGGAGUGCAGGAGAGGUAAGUGGAAUUCCUAGUGUAGCGGUGAAAUGCGUAGAUAUUAGGAGGAACACCAGUGGCGAAGGCGGCUUACUGGACUGUAACUGACGUUGAGGCUCGAAAGCGUGGGGAGCAAACAGGAUUAGAUACCCGAGUA
rnacentral:rRNA from 1 species